rnacentral:rRNA from 1 species
GACGAACGCUGGCGGCGUGCCUAAUACAUGCAAGUUGAGCGCUGAAGGUUGGUACUUGUACCAACUGGAUGAGCAGCGCACGGGUGAGUAACGCGUGGGGAAUCUGCCUUUGAGCGGGGGACAACAUUUGGAAACGAAUGCUAAUACCGCAUAAAAACUUUAAACACAAGUUUUAAGUUUGAAAGAUGCAAUUGCAUCACUCAAAGACGAUCCCGCGUUGUAUUAGCUAGUUGGUGAGGUAAAGGCUCACCAAGGCGAUGAUACAUAGCCGACCUGAGAGGGUGAUCGGCCACAUUGGGACUGAGACACGGCCCAAACUCCUACGGGAAGCAGCAGUAGGGAAUCUUCGGCAAUGGACGAAAGUCUGACCGAGCAACGCCGCGUGAGUGAAGAAGGUUUUCGGAUCGUAAAACUCUGUUGGUAGAGAAGAACGUUGGUGAGAGUGGAAAGCUCAUCAAGUGACGGUAACUACCCAGAAAGGGACGGCUAACUACGUG